rnacentral:rRNA from 1 species
UACGAGAGGCCCAAACGUUAUUCGGAAUUACUGGGCUUAAAGAGUCCGUAGGCGGCGCAGAAAGUAGGGUGUGAAAGCCCUCGGCUUAACCGAGGAAUUGCGCUCUAAACUACUGUGCUUGAGGAACCUAGAGGUGAGCGGAACUGAUGGUGGAGCGGUGAAAUGCGUUGAUAUCAUCAGGAACACCGGUGGCGAAGGCGGCCCACUGGAUCGGUACUGACGCUGAGGUGCGAAAGCGUGGGGAGCAAACAGG